CUGUAACAAUUUUAAAAUAAAAGCCAGCAUACUGGUGGAAAAAAAAAAUCCAACAACAACAAGAAUAAACCACAACAAAGCAUAUAUUUUCAAUAUUUCCACUGUAUAAACCCAAUCCAUGGAUCAUGCAAAAGAGAUAAGUCUCUUGGAAAUGACAGUAAUUUGGUGACAGUAAGCAAGUCAGUAACCAGACUUAAAAAGAGUUACUCACUGUUUCCUCCAUCACCAAAGGCACCUGCUAAGUCCAAGUCAGCCCCUAAAGGAGGGAAACGGUCUGUUACUUCUCAAGUUCUGAGAAAUGAGGAAGGAAUGACUUCAGAAACAGAUGGAGAAAUCACCAGAGACCCACAUGACUAAAGACUUUUCUGAGUAUCACACUGACCAGGAUGUCAUUUGAAAAAACAAAUUCCUGACCAUUUUUACAUCAUUUUUCCUUCAGAGGACAAGAGUAAGAGAUGAGAGCAAGAGAGAGAGGGAGAGAGAAAUAACGUCAUUUGUAAAUCAAUUGUGCUGCCUAGACCGAACUGGGACUCCGCAUCUGCUUGCACACAACUCCCUCUGAUGGACUCCCCAUUAUCUCCUCUCAGGUCUGCAACACCUGACCUGGUAAGCAGACCGUAAGAGAAAUCAACAGAAAAAGAGUGGACACGAAAAUGGAUUCACAGUCACAAAAACAAGGAAAAAACACUUUAGAAACCCACUGACGGAAUCAGUAAGAGAAAGAGACAAAACUAAUCUCAAAGAAAAAGCUCAGGCCAGGUGCAGUGGCUCACACCUGUAAUCCCAGCACUUUGAGAGGCUGAGGUGGGCGGAUCACCUGAGGUCAGGGGUUCAAGACCAGCCCGGCUAACAUGGCGAAAUCCCGUCUCUACUCAAAAUACAAGAAUUUGCCGAGCAUUGUGGUGCGUAUCUAUCUGUAAUCCUAGCUACUUGGGAGGCUGAGGCACGAGAAUCGCUUGAAUCCAGGAAACGGAGGCUGCAGUGAGGUAAGAUCAUGCCACUUGAGACUCUGUCUCAAAAAACAAAAAAAAAAAAAAAAAAGAAAAAGCUCAACAUUGAAAACGCAUUACCAUUCCUUGAAUCAACCUAUGAUUAUCAACAAUUCAAAUGAAAUUGAAAAGAAGGUUUUACUUCUCCCAAGAGAAGAGACAAGAGCAAAAGGAUUCCCAAUUUAAAUGGAAAAUAAAAAGUUACAGGAAGCAGGAUACCCACACAAACGUAAGACACCAUUAAAAAAAAUAAACAUACUGCUUGUAAAACAUUCCUGUUAAAAAUAUUCAAAGGCAAAAAUAAAGUGCAAAACCAUUUUC